UACGGGGGGGGGCUAGCGUUGCUCGGAAUCACUGGGCGUAAAGGGUGCGUAGGCGGGUCUUUUAAGUCAGGGGUGAAAUCCUGGAGCUCAACUCCAGAACUGCCUUUGAUACUGAAGAUCUUGAGUUCGGGAGAGGUGAGUGGAACUGCGAGUGUAGAGGUGAAAUUCGUAGAUAUUCGCAAGAACACCAGUGGCGAAGGCGGCUCACUGGCCCGAUACUGACGCUGAGGCACGAAAGCGUGGGGAGCAAACAGG
rnacentral:rRNA from 1 species